CCAUAAUUCUCGUGCACUUCUCGCCGUGUAUACAUUCCAGGAGUGGGUGAGUGAACCCAAACCUGUACAGAUCGCCAUCAAUCAGUGUAUACUUGCUGGAAUUUUUCUUUACCUUCCUAGCUUCUGUUGGAUCUAACGGGAGGAGGCCAUCCGCCAGGCAUCGCUUGUACUGUGUUAUCCACGUAUCUGGCUCAUGGGUGGCGCAGACCUGCAUCACGUCCACCUUCUCUCCUCGACAAGCUCUAAUUCUUGGCGAUCUCAGGGUUUCUUGCGUCAAAGACCUAUGGCUUCUCGCUGCUCUCUCCGUCGACCUGCUUAUCUGAAGGACCAGGUGAUCUGCUACAAAUGCCCUCGGCGUCUUCAAAGUUUCUUGAAUCACUGUCCUCUGCCUA
rnacentral:lncRNA from 1 species